UACGGACACAUCAGGUUGAAACACCGGAUCCUGUAUGAUAACCGAAGUUAAGCGACAUCGAGUCUGGUCAGUAUCUCGAUGGGUGAUCGCUUGGGAAGACCAGUGGCUGUAA